rnacentral:rRNA from 1 species
ACGGCUCAGUAACACGUGGAUAACCUGCCCUAAGGAAGGGGAUAACCCCGGGAAACUGGGGAUAAUACCCUAUAGGUUACAGAUGCUGGAAUGCUUUGUAACCCAAAGUUCCGACGCCUUAGGAUGGAUCUGCGGCCGAUUAGGUUGUUGUCGGGGUAACGGCCCAACAAGCCAGUAAUCGGUACGGGUUGUGGGAGCAAGAGCCCGGAGUUGGAUUCUGAGACACGAAUCCAGGCCCUACGGGGCGCAGCAGGCGCGAAAACUUUACAAUGCGGGCAACCGUGAUAAGGGAACCUCGAGUGCCUGUAUAUGCAGGCUGUCCAGGUGUCUAAAACACACCUGAAGAAAGGGCCGGGCAAGACCGGUGCCAGCCGCCGCGGUAAUACCGGCGGCUCGAGUGGUGGCCACUUUUAUUGGGCUUAAAGCGUUCGUAGCUGGGUUGUUAAGUCUCUUGGGAAAUCUGACGGCUUAACCGUCAGGCGUCUAAGAGAUACUGGCAAUCUUGGAACCGGGAGAGGUGAGGGGUACUUCGGGGGGUAGGGAGGUUGAAAUCCUGUAAUCCUCGAGGGACCACCUGUGGCGAAGGCGCCUCACCAGAACGGCUUCGACAGUGAGGGACGAAAGCUGGGGGAGCAAACCGGAUUAGAUACCCGGGUAGUCCCAGCCGUAAACGAUGUGCGUUAGGUGUAUCGGUGACCACGAGUCACCGAGGUGCCGAAAGGGAAACCGUGAAACGUACCGCCUGGGAAGUACGGUCGCAAGGCUGAAACUUAAAGGAAUUGGCGGGGGAGCAC